GGGUGCAAUCAUACCAGGACUAAUGCACCGGAUCCCAUCAGAACUCCGAAGUCAAACGUGCUUGGGCGAGAGUAGUACUAAGAUGGGUGACCUCUUGGGAAGUCCUCGUGUUGCACGCC
rfam:Ricinus communis cultivar Hale ctg_1100012362467, whole genome shotgun sequence.